AGAUAAUAGAUACCCAGGUAGUCCACGCCCUAAACGAUGACAACUGGGUGUUGGGGAAGCGAUUCUCCAGUACCGUAGCUAAACGCGUGAAGUUGUCCGCCUGGGGAGUACGGCCGCAAGGUUAAAACUCAAAGGAAUUGACGGGGACCCGCACAAGCGGUGGAUGAUGUGGAUUAAUUCGAUGCAACGCGAACAACCUUACCUACCCUUGACAUGUCCGGAAGCCCGCUGAGAGGUGGGGGUGCCCGAAAGGGAACCGGAACACAGGUGCUGCAUGGCUGUCGUCAGCUCGUGUCGUGAGAUGUUGGGUUAAGUCCCGCAACGAGCGCAACCCUUGUCCCUAGUUGCUACGCAAGGGCACUCUAGGGAGACUGCCGGUGACAAACCGGAGGAAGGUGGGGAUGACGUCAAGUCCUCAUGGCCCUUAUGGGUAGGGCUUCACACGUCAUACAAUGGCCGGUACAGAGGGUUGCCAACCCGCGAGGGGAGCCAAUCCCAGUAAAAGCCGGUCGUAGUCCGGAUUGCAGUCUGCAACUCGA
rnacentral:rRNA from 1 species